rnacentral:rRNA from 1 species
UACGUAGGGGGCAAGCGUUGUCCGGAAUCAUUGGGCGUAAAGAGCGUGUAGGCGGCCAGAAAAGUCCGCUGUGAAAACUCGAGGCUCAACUUCGAGCUGUCGGUGGAAACUUUCUGGCUAGAGUCCGGAAGAGGAGAAUGGAAUUCCUGGUGUAGCGGUGAAAUGCGCAGAUAUCAGGAAGAACACCGGUGGCGAAGGCGGUCUGCUGGGCAGUAGCUGACACUGAUGCGCGACAGCGUGGGGAGCAAACAGG